AUUGAACGCUGGCGGCAGGCCUAACACAUGCAAGUCGAACGAGUGGCGGACGGGUGAGUAAUGUCUGGGAAACUGCCCGAUGGAGGGGGAUAACUACUGGAAACGGUAGCUACUACCGCAUACCAUCGGAUGUGCCCAGAUGGGAUUAGCUAGUGGGUGGGGUAAUGGCUCACCUAGGCGACGAUCCCUAGCUGGCCUGAGAGGAUGACCAGCCACACUGGGACGGAGACACGGCCCAGACUCCUACGGGAGGCAGCAGUGGGGAAUAUUGCACAAUGGGCGCAAGUCUGAUGCAGCCAUGCCGCGUGUAUGAAGAAGGCCUUCGGGUUGUAAAGCACUUUCAGCGAGGAGGCGGUACUCGCAGAAGAAGCACCGGCUAACUCCGUGCCAGCAGCCGCGGUAAUUC
rnacentral:rRNA from 1 species